rnacentral:lncRNA from 1 species
ACCAACCACCCUGGACGACCAGAUGGUUAGAUUAUAAAUGAUAAUAGCUCAUUGAAGUCCUUAAUGGAGGUUAAGGCGUGACUGAACCGUCAUCAGGCUCACGAAAAGUAAAAACUCAUUGCAGCUAAUAUAAAUAAAGGUCUCAGGUAUGACUUUUGGAUCACGUUGCACAUUAUGCACACCACAUGCAUCACUUAUAAUGAUAAUUGUUCGGUCAUUUUUACUGACUUGAGCGUCGGAGUGCCUUUGACAGGUACCCGCCCGCCCGACUUGGAAAAAAUGGAAGGAGAACGAAACCGUCCGGCCUACAGCGAAUCUGUUCAGUCUUCAAGAUCCGUUCAGUCUUAGAGACAAGGAAGAAGGUCCGUCAGGUCUUCAACCUGAAGCACUUUGAGUUACGUUUGUCCACUUUGAGUGUUCGUCCACCCUAAAAGGUGUCUGUCCGGUCUUAGAGUUAACAUGGACUGUUACAAACCAGGGAUCCUAGACUCG